AUCUGGCUCUUUUAGAGUCCGAGUUGUAAUUUGCAGAGGGCGCUUUGGCUUUGGCAGCGGUCCAAGUUCCUUGGAACAGGACGUCACAGAGGGUGAGAAUCCCGUACGUGGUCGCUGGCUAUUGCCGUGUAAAGCCCCUUCGACGAGUCGAGUUGUUUGGGAAUGCAGCUCUAAAUGGGAGGUACAUUUCUUCUAAAGCUAAAUAUUGGCCAGAGACCGAUAGCGCACAAGUAGAGUGAUCGAAAGAUGAAAAGCACUUUGGAAAGAGAGUCAAACAGCACGUGAAAUUGUUGAAAGGGAAGCGCUUGCAGCCAGACUUGCUUACAGUUGCUCAUCCGGGUUUCUACCCGGUGCACUCUUCUGUAGGCAGGCCAGCAUCAGUUUGGGCGGUAGGAUAAAGGUCUCUGUCACGUACCUCCUUUCGGGGAGGCCUUAUAGGGGAGACGACAUACUACCAGCCUGGACUGAGGUCCGCGCAUCUGCUAGGAUGCUGGCGUAAUGGCUGUAAGCGGCCCGUCUUGAAACACGGACCAAGGAGUCUAACAUCUAUGCGAGUGUUUGGGUGUCAAGCCCGAGCGCGUAAUGAAAGUGAACGGAGGUGGGAACCCGCAAGGGUGCACCAUCGACCGAUCCUGAUGUCUUCGGAAGGAUUUGAGUAAGAGCAUGGCUGUUGGGACCCGAAAGAUGGUGAACUAUGCUUGAAUAGGGUGAAGCCAGAGGAAACUCUGGUGGAGGCUCGCAGCGGUUCUGACGUGCA
rnacentral:rRNA from 1 species